rnacentral:rRNA from 1 species
GACGAACGCUGGCGGCGUGCUUAACACAUGCAAGUCGAACGGAAAGGCCCUGCUUUUGUGGGGUGCUCGAGUGGCGAACGGGUGAGUAACACGUGAGUAACCUGCCCUUGACUUUGGGAUAACUUCAGGAAACUGGGGCUAAUACCGGAUAGGAGCUCCUGCUGCAUGGUGGGGGUUGGAAAGUUUCGGCGGUUGGGGAUGGACUCGCGGCUUAUCAGCUUGUUGGUGGGGUAGUGGCUUACCAAGGCUUUGACGGGUAGCCGGCCUGAGAGGGUGACCGGCCACAUUGGGACUGAGAGACGGCCCAGACUCCUACGGGAGGCAGCAGUGGGGAAUAUUGCACAAUGGGCGGAAGCCUGAUGAAGCAACGCCGCGUGCGGGAUGACGGCCUUCGGGUUGUAAACCGCUUUCGCCUGUGACGAAGCGUGAGUGACGGUAAUGGGUAAAGAAGCACCGGCUAACUACGUG